GAUGAACGCUGGCGGCGUGCCUAAUACAUGCAAGUCGAGCGAACAGACGAGGCGCUUGCUCCUCUGACGUUAGGGGCGGACGGGUGAGUAACACGUGGAUAACUUACCUAUAAGACUGGGAUAACUACGGGAAACCGGAGAUAACACGGGAUAAGAUAUUGAACCGCAUGGUUCAUUGGAGAAAGCCGGCUUUGCUGUCACUAAUAGAUGGUUCCGAGCCGCAUUAGCUAGUUGGUAAGGUAACGGCUUUCCAAGGCGACGAUGCGUGGCCGACCUGAGAGGGUGAUCGGCCACACUGGAACUGAGACACGGUCCAGACUCCUACGGGAGGCAGCAGUAGGGAAUCUUCCGCAAUGGGCGAAAGCCUGACGGAGCAACGCCGCGUGAGUGAUGAAGGUCUUCGGAUCGUAAAACUCUGUUAUUAGGGAAGAACAAAUGUGUAAUUAACUAUGCACGUCUUGACGGUACCUAAUCAAAAAGCCACGGCUAACUACGUG
rnacentral:rRNA from 1 species